rnacentral:tRNA from 1 species
GUCCCUGUAGCUCAGUUGGACAGAGCGGCUGCCUUCUAAGCAGCGGGUCGCAGGUUCGAAUCCUGCCAGGGACGCCA